rnacentral:misc_RNA from 1 species
AAGACUAUAGACCUGCGGAGUACCUGCGGAGGGAUCAUUACCGAGUUUUCAACUCCCUAACCCUUCUGUGAACCUACCUAUCGUUGCUUCGGCGGACUCGCCCCAGCCCGGACGCGGACUGGACCAGCGGCCCGCCGGGGACCUCAAACUCUUGUAUUCCAGCAUCUUCUGAAUACGCCGCAAGGCAAAACAAAUGAAUCAAAACUUUUAGCAAUGGAUCUCUAGAUCGGAAGAGCACAC